rnacentral:lncRNA from 1 species
GGCUGAUCUGAAGAGUCCCACUAGACAGAGACUCUGCUGAAGAGUCCCAUUAGAUGGGGACUCUAGUGAAGAGUCCCACUGGACUGAGACUCUAUCAUUAAUGAAAGAUUAAUUAGUGAUUAGAUUAUUAAUUAAGUUAAUUUGAUUGAGCAUUAAAGUCUGGAUCAAGUCUAAUUGAAUUAGAUUCAAUCAGAUCAGGUCUGAUUAGGUUGUAAGAUGACCUAAUCGGUAAGAGAGAAUUAAUCUUGAUUUGAUCGAGUCUAUGACUCAAUUAAUUUAUUGAUUUGAUUAGUUUUAAUUGA